CCGGAACUGUUCUGCGCAUGUGUCCUAGGAUUAACAAAUCACUCCUACUUCCCCAGCCAGUUUGCUACUGCGCACUCUCAGUUAUGUUUGUUUGGUUUUUUUUGGUGCCGGGGAUCGAACUAGGGUGCUUGAACUACUGCAUACUCUCAAUCAGCCUGAGUUGUUUGCAGCCCUGGGAAUCCCCAAAGCUUUGUGUGCCAGCACCCAUCAAGCUGAGUGACUUCCGGAGAGCUGAUACGUCACUCAAGCCUGAAAGGUCCAGCUUGGCUGUUCUAGGACAUCAUAUGAAUACAAUCAUACAAUGUGGACUCUGGGCAAGGCUUCCACCACUCCUCCUGAUGUUUCUGAGAUUCAUCCAGGUUCCUGCAUAUCUUUGUGUCUUCACCGCCUACAAAGCUCUGGUUCUCAAUCAAGUGCUCUCAGCGAAAGAAAUUCAUAAUUGGAAUCCAGGAAGGCAUGACUGAUGGCCAACCCAUGCUUGUGAGCCUUGAUAGCAUAGUAAAAAUCACACCCUGAGGUAGAGACUUAAGAUGGCAAUGGAACAUGCAUGGGAUAAAGAAACAUGACAACGAAGACUGCAACUAGAACUCCACUUCUCCCUACCCUGACAUGGAGAGACCAGGCCUUGUCUACCUCACAGAUGCCAUAGAAGGUUUUGUCCUUCGUUUGGGUCAGCCUGGGGUUCCUCUCCCUCACAGUUUUCCCCUUGUGCUCUAGCCUAAGAAUAAAAGCCUUAUGUCCAUGCCCAAAUGUUCUUGUCUGAUCCUUUUGAUGGAGGCCACAAACCCCGCGGAGGCGCUAACAUAUUCACAGCAAUUAAAUUCCUAAUGAAAAUCCUUAUUACUGAAAUCAGUAGCAGAUGAAUGCUGAGAACUCU
rnacentral:lncRNA from 1 species